rnacentral:rRNA from 1 species
GUGGGGAAUCUUAGACAAUGGGGGAAACCCUGAUCUAGCCAUGCCGCGUGAGCGAUGAAGGCCUUAGGGUUGUAAAGCUCUUUCAGCUGGGAAGAUAAUGACGGUACCAGCAGAAGAAGCCCCGGCUAACUCCGUGCCAGCAGCCGCGGUAAUACGGAGGGGGCUAGCGUUGUUCGGAAUUACUGGGCGUAAAGCGCGCGUAGGCGGACCAGAAAGUUGGAGGUGAAAUCCCAGGGCUCAACCUUGGAACUGCCUUCAAAACUCCUGGUCUGGAGUUCGAGAGAGGUGGGUGGAAUUCCGAGUGUAGAGGUGAAAUUCGUAGAUAUUCGGAGGAACACCAGUGGCGAAGGCGGCUCACUGGCUCGAUACUGACGCUGAGGUGCGAAAGCGUGGGGAGCAAACAGGAUUAGAUACCCCGGUAGUCC